GUGCUCACCUGGGCAGCACAUACACUAACACUGGAAUGAUACAGAGAAGGUCAGCAAGGCCCCCCGCCAAGGAUGACACGCAAAUUCGUGAAGCUUCCGUGUUUUAA
ensembl:snRNA U6 U6 spliceosomal RNA